AAGGAUGAGCUGUUAAAAGAUGAUGACCCUCCAUCAAGCUUUAUCUUCAAGGAGCGUUGCUGAAGAACAUAGUUGUUCUUCAAGAAGAAGAUGCUGCCUACACGACCCUGUCAUUGGCUUGCUCAAGGUUCAGGGACAUAGUUGGUGAUGACAAGUUCAAGAAUCAGGCACACUUCUUAUGGCUAGAAAGUAAAUAUUGACAUUAAAAAAUAAAAUGCAUAACAAGAACAUCAUUGAUAAUGUUAUGUGAUUUUUUUCACCUCGGGUGUUACAUGCUGGAAAAAAGACAUCUCACUACAAACAGCUCUUCUGGAAGAUGUACUCAUUCUCCACUUGUUUGGAGUGUGGGUUUGAGUACAAAUGCUGCACACCUGGUACUUUUUGUGUAAAUUGGUGAUGAAUAAACUAGUUGUUAGUCUAGAGGAAAACUAAAAAUCUAAUUUACUUAUGUCAUCCCUUGGAGUUUAAAAGUUCUGGACACCAUUCAAUUGACCUACAGAACUGAGAAAUUAUUCCUAAUGUUUGUAAAUGUUCACUGUCAACUAUAAACCCUAGUUCUUAUUGUGCUUCUUGUGUAUCCAUCAGGUUAUGCUGGGAAGGGAAAGCGAGGUGAACUCCAGGGCAUUUAUUCAAAAACCUUCCACCCUGGAUUUUGCAGAUUUGACUGCAUGCAGAUCAGUUCUAAUGAGCUGAUAUAGUUUCCUUACAAAGACUAAAAAUAAUAAAAUAAAAUAAACACUUUUGCAAUCAA